rnacentral:rRNA from 1 species
CAGCAGCCACGGUAAUACGUAGGUGGCGAGCGUUGUCCGGAAUUAUUGGGCGUAAAGGGAGCGCAGGCGGACAUAUAAGUCCAUCUUAAAAGUGCGGGGCUCAACCCCGUGAGGGGAUGGAAACUGUAUGCCUUGAGUGCAGGAGAGGAAAGCGGAAUUCCCAGUGUAGCGGUGAAAUGCGUAGAUAUUGGGAGGAGCACCAGUGGCGAAGGCGGCUUUCUGGACUGUAACUGACGCUGAGGCUCGAAAGCCAGGGGAGCGAACGGGAUUAGAUACCCGCGUAGUCCCUGUCUCUUAUACA